rnacentral:rRNA from 1 species
UACGUAGGGAGCAAGCGUUGUCCGGAAUCAUUGGGCGUAAAGCGCGCGUAGGUGGCCUCAUAAGUCCGCUGUGAAAGUCAAAAGGCUCAACCUUUGAAAGCCGGUGGAUACUGUGAGGCUAGAGUACGGAAGAGGAGAGUGGAAUUCCUGGUGUAGCGGUGAAAUGCGUAGAUAUCGGGAGGAACAUCGGUGGCGAAGGCGGCUCUCUGGACCAUAACUGACGCUGAGGCUCGAAAGCUAGGGGAGCAAACAGG